UACAGAGGGGGCUAGCGUUAUUCGGAAUUAUUGGGCGUAAAGGGCGCGUUGGCGGCCAUGCGUGUCUUCCGUGAAAUCCCUCGGCUUAACUGAGGACGUGCGGAAGAAACUGCAAGGCUCGAGUCCGGGAGAGGGGGGUGGAAUUCCCAGUGUAGCGGUGAAAUGCGUAGAUAUUGGGAGGAACACCGGUGGCGAAGGCGGCCCCCUGGACCGGUACUGACGCUGAGGCGCGAAAGCGUGGGUAGCAAACGGG
rnacentral:rRNA from 1 species